CCCCUAGAUGUUCUGGGCCGCACGCGCGCUACACUGAACAGUUCAACAAGUCUUAACCUUGGCCGAUAGGUCUGGGUAAUCUUUGAACGCUGUUCGUGAUUGGGAUAGACCUUUGCAAUGAUGGGUCUUCAACGAGGAAUUCCUAGUAAACGCAAGUCAUCAGCUUGCAUUGAUUACGUCCCUGCCCUUUGUACACACCGCCCGUCGCACCUACCGAUUGAAUGGUCCGGUGAAAUCUCGGGACGGCGGCUUGGUCGCUUGCGUCCGACUGCUGAAACUUGAUUAAACCAUAUCAUUUAGAGGAAGGUGAAGUCGUAACA
rnacentral:rRNA from 1 species